rnacentral:lncRNA from 1 species
GCAUGUUUCGUCAUCUUACCGGUUACCGAUACUGUCUUACUUUUUGGACCCUCAGGCCCAAGAUAGUAGGUGCUCUCGCCGUCAUAGGCCUGAUAAGAGAGUGGAUGUCGUGGGAGUCGGUGAUCGGCAAACAGCGUCGUUUAGGAUUGACUCGUUCCAUCCUGAUCGGCCACGCAAGACACUGAGCCAUGGGAUGAGAGACAAAGCACACGCUAAGCCUGAGCCCUUCUCCACACCUUUUCAAUAAAAUUAACCAAUAAUCUGCCAUUCGGUUGGUUUGUCCUGACAGCAACGUAGUUUGGACUUGGAGGUAUGUUGUUGCUCAUUCUUUUUGGGAUGGAGUUCAGAGGGAUAGCCGAGACACGACAAACAAAGUUCGUCCAAAGCAAGAGAAAGCUUCGUCAGAUGGCAGAGAGAUUCGCUUCCAUCUUCGGGCAUAUCAGGAGGGAUUGGGGCCCCUGGACCGUCGUUCCUUCAUCAAUGAAGAUGAAACUGUGUUGUGUGGCACCGCCAGGAAGAACUCGAGAGUUUGCAAGUACGUUUGACACAUAUUAGCGUGGUAAAGUCACCACUGCAAUACCUAACAAAGGAACGAGGCGGAUAAGGGUUCUAGUCAGUUGCAGCCACCUGGCUCAUACUCGCACCCUGCUGUACUUGAAACCUAUUUCCUCCUCGAGGGAAAAGUGUGGCCCGAAGCGUGUGCGCUUCGUUUUUCUCCAGAGCAAACGGUUGAGACUCGCUGUAAGUUGCACCGUGGGUCUCCUGACGUCACCGAAAUGUCCAAGCCUUCAACCCGUAGAACGUGUUCUGGGGUCAACAGGCACUCUGGCACUGUGCCUGCGAAUGUUUCUGCCUGCACAUCUUACAUAUUUCCUUCAGAGGUGGUAAUUCGGCAUCCAAUGGGAUUUAACGGGAAGCUGGGCCACUGCAGGGGUUAUUCAGAAAACUUAUUGUGUUGCUGUUUGUAUAAUCCAGAGUAAAGAAGAGUUUGUGAGUCGCGUGGAUACCGUCAACUCUGCCCAUCGUAUUAACACUACACUGUCAUAUUGCGGCACAAAUUCUGCAUUUCCGUCUUUUGUUGAUUGCCGAACUGUGUUUAAAAAGCAACCCGAUGUCAACCUGGGCCAGGGUUUGCACAGAUAAACAUCCGAUCACAUAUUAAGGAGAGAGCAUCCAGUGUAGUCUCCCCCGAUGAACAAGCGACAGCUAUUGGCAGACCACAAGCUGCUGAUCGCGUGCUGGUGGACGUUAAAAAUGAAGGCACCACUCCCUGUGUGAGCAAGUGGCUUUGUGUUGUCUGCCACUUUUAACGACUCUGCAGCAACAAAGAAUUCGACGUGCUAUCAGGGACGUAGCCGACGAUUUUAGCUACCCGAUUAACUCGGACAGCGACGAGGGCUGAAGCGGUCCGACGAUAACCGCAGUCGUUUGGUAGUGCGUCGACUCGUUCGGUGUUGUACAGCGAUUUCAGCUCCGGUGUCUUUCCUGAAAGUUUCCGUUUCUCUAUGGUGUUGGACACACACCAUAUGCUUUCUCGUACGCCACCGCCCUUGUGGGCUGUUCACUCAGUUUGCACAGAUUGCGAGGGCCCCGAUGUUGGUGUUUCGAAACAUGUGUGGGAGCCGUGAAAGCAAUUACUUCGAUUCUUGUGUGAGAGUUGUUUGCAGUGUUCCACGUUCCCUGCUUCCCGGGUUAGCUUAGCCUUGGCUAGUUGCCAACACACUGAGCAAUGUUCCAAAAAGUACGUCUUUUCAAGUACACCCUGGUUCGACAGUUUCAAAUGCGGCGAGACACAUUGAGUUUGAUGGGUCUUUGAGACUGAAUGGAUCUUUGAGUGGGUUGCUUAGUUUAGAGUAUGAAACCAAGUUCGGACGUGCCUUGCUGUUGCCGCUA